UACGUAGGGGGCAAGCGUUAUCCGGAUUUACUGGGUGUAAAGGGAGCGCAGACGGCAGCGCAAGUCUGAUGUGAAAUCCCGGGGCUCAACCCCGGAACUGCAUUGGAAACUGCGCAGCUCGAGUAUCGGAGAGGUAAGCGGAAUUCCUAGUGUAGCGGUGAAAUGCGUAGAUAUUAGGAGGAACACCGGCGGCGAAGGCGGCUUACUGGACGAAGACUGACGUUGAGGCUCGAAAGCGUGGGGAGCAAACAGGAUUAGAUACCCGGGUAGUCCCUGA
rnacentral:rRNA from 1 species